rnacentral:lncRNA from 1 species
AAAACUUCAUCCUCAAUACUCAUUGAGCUUAUUCCAAUUAGCACAAAUGCAACAACCUCCUUGUGGUGUCGUGACAUUACUUUUAUGAAUUAAUUCCUACAUAUUAAUGUCAUUAAUAUGUUAGUCUCUAUUAGUUCCCUACACUUUUUAAUAUGUUGCGACUAUACUUGGAAGUAUCUUUGAAAAUUACUAGUUUAAAGUGACUCAAAAGCUAGAUAUGAGCAUCAUGCUAAUAACAUCAUUUUACAUGCUUAUCAUAUUUAUGCAGUCUAUAAUUUGUAUCAAAGCAUCAUAUAAGUUGCUACUUGAUUAUAAUUCAAUAUACAUCCAUUUUUCUCAAUUUUGCAAAAUAUGUAGCACAUGCCAUCCGGUUCAUGUUUAAAAUUCAUAAUAACUGAACUAACAACUGGCAUGCGUUUUAAUGUUUAACUAUUUCUUCAUAUCAUAUGAAACAUUCUCAAAAUGUGAUUUCAUAAGCAAAGAUGUUUGAUUAAAAGGUAAUCGACUUAAUUGACCAUUUUCACGUCGACAUUGCAUAUUUAGUUAUGCUAACGAUUUGUGAUAUUCUACUGUGAGCAGUAACAUUUUGCUUCGCAUUUGUUUCUUUUCUUUGAAAGGAAUUUGGCCCCCAUUUUUUAAAAUUGAUUUGUCCCCAAAUUUUUUUCCGAACUCAUUUUCAACCAUACAUUUUAUAGAACCCCACAAGUUUUAUCAACCUUUCAACCAUGCAUUUUAUUGAAUCUUAUCAAAAAUUUAAAAAAAAAAAUAAAAUAAAAUCUAAUUCUUAGCAAAAUAUAACAGGGCUAAAUUAGGGGUGGCAAACGGGUCGAGCCACUCAUGGACUUGUCUAUGCACAUCCGGGCUUGGGCUCUUUUUGUGAUCAGUCAUGGGUGCUUCUGAGGCCCACGAGUAGGAUUUUAUUUUAUUUUUAUUAUUAUUUUUUUUGUCUCAUUUUUGAAUUUAUAAUGUUAAUUAUUUUUUACUCUUUUUUGGCCUGUAUUGCUAAUCUAUUUAUAUAAAAAAAUCAAGCUGGCUUGUCGGCUGCUCACCUCGUGAGGCCCACAAGCUUAGGGCCGAGCCGAGCUCGUUGUGGUUGACUCGGCCAUUGCCACUCCUAGGCUAAAUGCUUAUUCCUCUUGCCCGCAUCUCUAUUUUUGAUAGUCAUUUCCCACAUUAUAUUAUCACCAUUUGAUACGAGGAAGAAAGAUCUGAUACUUUUAUGUUCUUGCAUCUGUUGACUGAGAUGUUGGUUCAAUUUUAUUUUUGCCGAGUAAUCCAAGCAACUCGAUAGUUUUAUUGGGAUUGUAUUUCGUGAGUCGAGACAAAUAUUUGAAGAUAUUUUCCUUUCCCUUCACGUCUCUGUAG